UACGAAGGGUGCAAACGUUGCUCGGAAUUACUGGGCGUAAAGCGCACGUAGGCGGCUUAGCAAGUCGGAAGUGAAAUCCCACGGCUCAACCAUGGAAGUGCUUUCGAAACUGCUGAGCUUGAGUACGAAAGAGGAUCGCGGAAUUCCCGGUGUAGAGGUGAAAUUCGUAGAUAUCGGGAGGAACACCAGUGGCGAAGGCGGCGAUCUGGGUCGAUACUGACGCUGAGGUGCGAAAGCGUGGGGAGCAAACAGGG
rnacentral:rRNA from 1 species